rnacentral:rRNA from 1 species
GGAGCAUUGCGCAGCCUAAACAUGCAGUCGACGGUAACAGGAAGCAGCUUGCUGCUUCGCUGACGAGUGGCGGACGGGUGAGUAAUGUCUGGGAAACUGCCUGAUGGAGGGGGAUAACUACUGGAAACGGUGGCUAAUACCGCAUAACGUCGCAAGACCAAAGAGGGGGACCUUCGGGCCUCUUGCCAUCAGAUGUGCCCAGAUGGGAUUAGCUUGUUGGUGAGGUAACGGCUCACCAAGGCGACGAUCCCUAGCUGGUCUGAGAGGAUGACCAGCCACACUGGAACUGAGACACGGUCCAGACUCCUACGGGAGGCAGCAGUGGGGAAUAUUGCACAAUGGGCGCAAGCCUGAUGCAGCCAUGCCGCGUGUAUGAAGAAGGCCUUCGGGUUGUAAAGUACUUUCAGCGGGGAGGAAGGUGUUGUGGUUAAUAACCGCAGCAAUUGACGUUACCCGCAGAAGAAGCACCGGCUAACUCCGUGCCAGCAGCCGCGGUAAUACGGAGGGUGCAAGCGUUAAUCGGAAUUACUGGGCGUAAAGCGCACGCAGGCGGUCUGUCAAGUCGGAUGUGAAAUCCCCGGGCUCAACCUGGGAACUGCAUUCGAAACUGGCAGGCUUGAGUCUUGUAGAGGGGGGUAGAAUUCCAGGUGUAGCGGUGAAAUGCGUAGAGAUCUGGAGGAAUACCGGUGGCGAAGGCGGCCCCCUGGACAAAGACUGACGCUCAGGUGCGAAAGCGUGGGGAGCAAACAGGAUUAGAUACCCUGGUAGUCCACGCCGUAAACGAUGUCUACUUGGAGGUUGUGCCCUUGAGGCGUGGCUUCCGGAGCUAACGCGUUUAGUAGACCGCCUGGGGAGUACGGCCGCAAGUUAAAAACUCAAAUGAAUUGACGGGGGCCGCACAAGCCGGUGGAGCAUGUGGUUUAAUUCGAUGCAACGCGAAGAACCUUACCCUGGUCUUGACAUCAACAGAACAUUUCAGAGAUGGAUUUGUGUCUUUCGGGAACUUGUGGAAACAGUGCUCUGCAUGUCUGACGAUCAGCUUCGGUUUGUGAAUUGUUUGGGUUAAAGUCCCGCAACGAGCGCAACCAUAAUCCUUUGGUUGGCAGCGAUAGUCGGGACUCAAAGGAUACUGCCUGUUGAUAACUGGGAAGGAAGUGCAGGAGUAUCCUAGCGUGCUCGGAGGGAUGCCAGCACUGACGGAUCCGGUCAGGUCUACGAGCAGCAUUGGGAAUUGCCAUGGCAGGAAGGUGGGGAUGACGUCAAGUCAUCAUGGCCCUUACGACCAGGGCUACACACGUGCUACAAUGGCGCAUACAAAGAGAAGCGACCUCGCGAGAGCAAGCGGACCUCAUAAAGUGCGUCGUAGUCCGGAUUGGAGUCUGCAACUCGACUCCAUGAAGUCGGAAUCGCUAGUAAUCGUGGAUCAGAAUGCCACGGUGAAUACGUUCCCGGGCCUUGUACACACCGCCCGUCACACCAUGGGAGUGGGUUGCAAAAGAAGUAGGUAGCUUAACCUUCGGGAGGGCGCUUACCACUUUGUGAUUCAUGACUGGGGGAAGUCGAACAAGAGCCUUGGUCCU